UUCUGAUUAGGUAGUGUCUUUUCUUUUCUAAAAUCUUUCAGUUAUGUCUCAAACAAAAACAAAAACAAAAACACAUCUCCAGUAUUACAUGUUUGCUAACUACAGAUUACUUCAGGUUCUUGCUCACCAUGGACCUCUGAAAUACUCUUACGAACUACUGAAGAACCUUUUCGAAGGAGAAAUACUGUCAUAUGGGGAUAAGCAAGAGUGGGAAAAUCAGCAUGCUCACUUUGGUUGUGGUGAGCUGAUCUGGGAUUGCCUUCUGAGGCUUAUUGAAAAGGGAACGAAAAAUGACAUAUUACCGUCUAUUCCCAACUUCAUCAUUUAUCUGCUUAAUUCUAACUAUGUUUUUCUUUUCUGUGGACAUACUGUUAGAAAUAUUGAAGGCACUUUAAUAUUUUCUUCAAAUAUCAUUUCUUAAAAUUAAUCAUGCUUUAUGUGACUAUUCUUCGGUGAUAAUAUUUCAUCUAUUCAAUUGAUAUCAUUUCUCAAAAUGUAGUAAUUUUCUGAUACAAAGGAGAGAGAUAAGGUAAGGUCUCUGAUGCAUGAAUGCUGUUGCUUUUGUAAAAAAUCACUGUUGACACCUUAUUUUAAAUGUUUUAUUGGUAAUGAGAGUGGGUUUUGUACAUCACAAUCUUCAAUUUAGUAUACCUAUGUAGAAUUUUUUUUUCAGAGUAACUAUACUGGAAUUGAAUAAAGAUUUUCAAAACUUUUCUUAAAAAAGAAAAAGGAUUCUACUGCUUUUGGUUGUUUUCAUUAUAGGCAUAGGAUUUCCCUGGGCCUUGUGGGUAUCUAUAACUGGUUUGAAAUAUACAGACAUGUUAUGUAUAGACUUAUUUAUCUAGAAAGAGUGUAUUAUAACUGGUUUGUAUCUAUUUUACAUAUUAUACAGUUGACCCUGGAAUAACAAAAGUUUGAACUGUGUGGGUCCACUUAUAUAUGGAUUUUUUUCUACCACAUGUGGUUCAAAAAUAUAGUAUUCAGGGGAUGUGAAACGCUCAUACACGGAGAGCCAACUUUUUGUACAUAGGGGUUCCCCAUGGCUGACUAUGGGACUUCCAUAUGCAAGGAUUUGGGUAUAAGCAGGUGGUCCUGGAACCAAUCCUCCACAUAUAUGAGGGAUGGACUAUAUAGUUCUUGAGUUAAUAUUCCUCCAUUGAAUCUUCUGUUAAUCUUUUAUUUUUAAAUGAGAGUCAAGAAAAGACAAAACCAAGAACAGAAAGUAAUGAGGAUAGGCUAUGGCUCUUAGAAAAGUGGUUAACUAGAUGUCUUUGUAAUCAGGUAAUGUGACUGGUAAAUCAGGGAAUGAUACAAAUAUUACACAGAAAACAUGUCAGUUCAUAUGUGCUUUUUCCCACCCAGGAGUUAAAAUAGCAGAAGCACAGGAUUAUAACCUCUGGCAGGAAGAAAAAAAGCCCUGAGCUCUAUGGCUGCAAAGUGAGUUCUUUCAGCUGUUUUAAGAACCUUGAAAAAUGAAUGUCUACAACCAUGGCUUCUUACCAGAGGCACAACCCCAGCCUUAUAGGACUUUAAGGAUUUAUGGCAAGGUGUACUUUCUCUAUACUUAGAGAUCUACCUUCCUCGGCAGUUUUAGCAUCCAGAAGCGAGCAUUUCUAUUCUGCUGUUUUUGUGCAUUUAAAAAUAUCCUGUAAUAGGCUGAUUUGUCUCCCCGGCUCUGCAAGAACCAAUUAAUGUUUCUGUUAGUGCUGUGGUCACACGGUUGCAUAGGUUUUGGGUGGUCUACCCCAGGCCUAUUAUUCCCAUGAGCUCUAUUAGUUUUAGAGUACAAUUUUGCAGACUGUAAGAUUUUUCAAGAACAUAUAUAUUAUGUUACAGCAAAAAAGUCUGUAUUCCAAGCCCCAGUUUCUUUCUAUAAAUUUACUAUUAUAGAAAUCAAACAUGGUAAUACACAUUUAACCCACUGGUUGGCCCAAAAUAAUAGGCUUCUUAAUGCAUCUUUGUUACUUUUACCUUAUAUUCUCAUACAAACAAAAAUGGGUAUAAGAAUGGGCUUUAGUAAACAUCAAUCCUAAAUUAUGUAUUCCAGGCCUGUGUCUGGGACAUCUCUUUUUUUAAGGGUAAAUGGAAUUAAUUUCAAACAGCUUUUAGAUGAACUGGACCCAGUGUACUCCAAACCUCCCCCAUUACCAGGGUUGUUCUACCUGGGCAUCAAACUCAGAUACUGUGUAGCUUUUCAGUACCCUUAAAGACAAAUGCUAUACAAACAGCAAGAACUUGAAAUGUACAACUUUUCUAAAUAUAUAAUAUCAAAAACUAAAUUUAAAAAGUACAUACCCAUAUAUGCUGCCCAAUGGAUAGCACGCCUAUCUUUCUUGUCAAAAGCAUUAAUAUUGGCACCUCUAGACAAGAGUAGUUUGACCAUCUGGAAUAGAAGUAAACACAGUGUCAUCAAAAUUGUGAAGCACAAUUGUCUAUGAAUGUACAUUUCUGACAGUUACUUAUCUCAACUUCUCUGGCACUAAAUUUCUGCAGUUGCUGAACAGAAGGAGCUAGACUAAAUACUGAAGGUCAUUUAACAUAACAGGACAAAACAUGAAAAAAAGGUUAACUGUGGGUGCUACUGAAGUCAGGCAUCAGUACCUUUUUAGGAUGCCACUUUGUGCCUUGGUAUUUUAUGAACUAAGUACAAAUCUGGAAAGUCUAAGACUGAAAUAUUUAAUAAGAGGUUUUGUUCCUAUUCAUAGUCCAAAAUGUUAAAAGUGCAUUCUCAUUCUAGAAAUGUCUUAAACUUAAUUCAAACACAAACAUAGUGCCUACAGUAUAAUUAUACCUGAAGGUCAGUCACUGCAUAGUCUGCUUACCUCACAAUGUACCAAAAAUAAUAAUUGCAACUAACCAUAUUUACAAUAAUUUCUCCACUGGAAGGCUACCGCAGAUCUCAAAUAGGGAUACAUCUGUAACCUUAACUGCAGUAGAGGCAAGGAUUCUUUACACUGGAAAAUCAGAGAAGUACAGUAGUCUCCCCUUAUCUGCAGUUCCACUUUCUGCAUUCAAUUACCUGCUGUCAACCAUAGUCUGAAAACAGGUGACUACACUACAGUUACAGUGGGAUAUUUUGAGAGAUAGACUACAUUCAUGUAACUUGUAUUAAAAUUGUUCCAUAUUAUUAUCUCUUACUGUGCCUUAAUUAUAAAUUAAAUUUUAUCAUCGGUAUGUAUAGGAAAAAAACACAGUAUCUAUAGGGUUUGGUACUAUCCAAUGUUUCAGGCAUCCAUAGGGGGUCCAGGAACAUAUCCUCUGUAGAUAAGUGGGAACUACUUUGAAAAAGACAUGGCAGCCACUAGCUCCCAGCCACAGAAUCUUGGGAAUGUUACUUUACCUAUAAGUUCCUACCCCUGCAACAAAAAUGAAAGACUAGACAAGUUGGCUUCAAAGGUUCUUCUGUUACCUUCUCUAAAUCUUUGGUGUACACAUAAACCCCAAUCUUUGCUAUGACACCUAGCACAGACAACGUUUGUUGUGUAAGAUAACUAAAUAGCAAUUUUCUUAAAUUGUUUUGAUGGUUCUGUCACUAAAGUAUUAUCUUGACUAAAUGUUAAUAAACUACUAAAAAGCAUGUUUUCUAAAUUCUGCCUUCCUUUGCUAUUUACUUCUGGAAGAACAAUAACAUAUCUCUGUCUUCACAUAUUUUUCCUGCCACAAUAAUAGAACAUACUUUUCCUGUUGUGUUAAGAGUUGGUAUUGUUUUCCUUGGUCACCACAGGUUAACUGUGCACAAGUAGUAUCUACUACAUACAUUUCUAAAUUUGAGAAAGUUAUAAAAGGAGGCAAAAUUAGACAAAAAUGAGAAAGAUAAAUAGUUCUGUAUGCCUUUACUAUGCAAAAAUGCAAGUUCUUUAAUAAGUGGGGGGUGGACAGGAGGAGAGAAAAAUAAUGGUCUAAUUGAAUGCCACCUACCUCACCAUGUCCACUGAAAGCUGCAUGAUGUAAUGCAGUCCUCCCUGCUCGAUCAGAUACGUUUACAUUACUCAGAAGAGGUACCAAAGCUUCAGCACACUUUACAGCUUUAUUAGCAGCAGCUAUAUGUAAAGGGGUUUGCCAAUUUUUGUCUCGAG
rnacentral:lncRNA from 10 species